rnacentral:rRNA from 14 species
UCGCGAAUCAGAAUGUCGCGGUGAAUACGUUCCCGGGUCUUGUACACACCGCCCGUCACACCAUGGAAGCUGGUUAUGCCCGAAGUCGUUAUACUAACCAUUUGGAGGGAGACGCCUAAGGUAGAGCUAGUGACUGGGGUGAAGUCGUAACAAGGUAGCCGUACUGGAAGGUGCGGCUGGAUCACCUCCUU